AGGCGAGUGUGCUACCGCUUAAGCCACAUCCCCAGCCAAAGGUUCCCUAGAGAAGUUCUGUUCUGAAGGGGUGACAGUGGCAGAAGAGGUGUGCCAUAGGAGCAAGGGUCAGGAAAGAAUAAAGUCCAGUUGCUUGUCACAGGCAUCGUUCAUUCAACACACAUUUCUUGAGUGCCUACUACAUGCCAAGACUGCUAGAUGCUGGGGGUACAGAGCUGAAUGCAACAUGGUGCCCGCCCUGGAGGAGCACAUAGUUCAGCUGGAGGAAGAUAGACAGGUAAACUGAAAAAUUAUGCUGUUAAGUGCUUUACCGAAAUAUCACUACAGAACAAGAAGAGAACAGAGCAGUUAACUUGAGUGACAUCGGGACUGUUAUGAGCCAUAAACAUAUUUAUAUAUCCCCAUUUAUGUACCAAAAAAGGCUUUUCAAAUACAUGUUUUGUGUUGUUUAUGGAAUAACAUCAAAAGCAAAUUUUUAAAAUCUGGGUAAAUUAAAAGGGUUAAAAAAAUAA